rnacentral:lncRNA from 1 species
AUUUUGGGGAAUUUUGGGAAAAUUCGGGGUAAAAUUUGGGAUAAAUUGUGAUAAUUUGGGGGAAUUUUGGGAAUUUUGGGAUAAUUUGGGGUAAAAUUUGGGAUAAUUUGGGGUAAUUUGAGGAAUUUGGGGGGAAUUUGGGGGAUUUGGGGUAAAAUUCGGAAGAAUUUGGGUUAAAUUUGGGGAAUUUGGGAUAAUUUGGAAUAAUUUGGGGCAGGAUUUUGAAUUCUUUGGGGUAAUUUUGGGAUAUUUUGGGAUAAAUUUGGGAUAAUUUGGGAUAUUUGGGAUAAUUUGGGAUAAAUUUGGGAUAAUUUUGGGAUAAAUUUGGGAUAAUUUUGGGAUAAUUUGGGAUAAUUUUGGGAUAAAUUUGGAUAAUUUGGGAUAAUUUGGGAUAAUUUGGGGUGGAUUUCAAAUUAUUUGGGAUAAUUUUGGGAUAAAUUUGGGAUAUUUGGGAUAAUUUGGGAUAAUUUUGGGAUAAAUUUGGGAUAAAUUUGGAUAAUUUGGGGGGGUCUCACCCCCUUUUUUCCCCUCCCCCACCCCCAGAACGACGCCCUGAGCCGGGAGAGCCUCGUGGUGUGAGCGGAACCUUCCGGAAACCCCCGGAAAAUUCCCAGAAAAUUCCAGGAAAAAUUCCCAGAAAUUCCAGGGAAAAUUCCCAGAAAUUCCAGGAAAAUUCCAGAAAUCCCCGGAACAUUCCCAAAGAUCCAGAACAUUCCCAGGAUUCCAGAAAAUUCCAGAAAAUUCCCAGAAAAUUCCCCAAAAAUCCCAGAAAAUUCCCCAAAAAUCCCAGAAAAUUCCCAAAAUUCCCAGAAAAUUCCCGGAAUUCCAGAACAUUCCCGGAAUUUCCGGAACAUUCCCGGAAUUUCCGGAACAUUCUCGGAAUUCCGAUGUUUUUUUGGGGCCAUUCCGGGAUUUUUUUUUUUUCGGUGCCUUUUUUUUUUAAGGAUUUGGAGCCAAAUAAAAAUUUGGAUUAAAAAAUCCGGAGCUGUGACGUCAUCACUUCCGCGCGUGACGUCAUCACAACUCGCCCGAUGACGUCAUCAUCUCCCGCCCCAUGACGUCAUUUUGGGGGUGGGGCUGGGGAAACUUCCAGGGAUUUUUGGGGGGGAUUUUGGGGCUUUUUCGUCCAUUUUUGGGGCAAUUUCAUCCAAUUUUGGGAAUUUUGAUCCCAUUUUGGGCCAAUUCCAGCCGUUUUUGGGUGUUUUGAUCCCAUUUUGGGUCAAUUCCAGCCGUUUUUGGGUGUUUCGAUCCCAUUUUUGGGUGUUUUGAUCCCAUUUUUGGGCCAAUUUCACCCAUUUUUGGGACUUUCCCAUCCAUUUUUGGGUGUUUUGAUCCCAUUUUGGGCCAAUUCCAGCCAUUUUUGGGACUCUCUGACCAAUUUUGGGUGUUUUGAUCCCAUUUUGGGUCAAUUCCAUCCAUUUUUGGGUGUUCUGAUCCCAUUUUGGGCCAAUUCCAGCCAUUUUUGGGUGUUUUGAUCCCAUUUUGGGUCAAUUCCAGCCAUUUUUGGGUGUUUUGAUCCAUUUUUGGGUCAAUUCCAGCCAUUUUUGGGUCAAUUCUAUCCAUUUUUGGGUGUUCUGAUCCCAUUUUGGGGCAUUUCCACCACUUUUUGGGUCAAUUUCACCCAUUUUUGGGUGUUUCGAUCCCAUUUUGGGACAAUUCCAUCCAUUUUUGGGCCAAUUCCAGCCAUUUUUGGGUGUUUUGAUCCCAUUUUGGGGCAUUUCCACCACUUUUUGGGUCAAUUUCACCCAUUUUUGGGGUCUUUAGAUCCCAUUUUGGGCCAAUUCCAGCCAUUUUUGGGUGUUUUGAUCCCAUUUUGGGUCAAUUCCAGCCAUUUUUGGGACUCUCUGACCAAUUUUGGGGGUUUCUGAUCCCAUUUUGGGUCAAUUCCAGCCAUUUUUGGGUGUUCUGAUCCCAUUUUGGGGCAUUUCCACCACUUUUUGGGUCAAUUUCACCCAUUUUUGGGUGUUUUGAUCC